rnacentral:tRNA from 1 species
GUUAAUGUAGCUUAAAA